rnacentral:rRNA from 1 species
AUGGAUGUUGAGAGUGUUUUUGGUCCAAUAGAAUUUGAUGAGGACAUCAAUACCAUUGUUACACCCACAGCCCCUGCUGCUAUACAUACUGGACCAAUUACUAGAGCUCGCGCACAACAACUAAAUUACCAGGUACUUUCGUUUCUUGGUAAUGAUUCUAAUGUUCAUGAGAAUAUGAUGCUGCCUAAAUUGGAUACAUUUGUUUUGCUUACAAAUGAAGGGCCUAGCUUGGAGAAGGAUGAACAUUGGAGCAAGAGAAAGCAUGGAGAUGAUGGCAUGCGCAAGGGGAACAAGAACGGAGUUACGAGUGAUGAUUUCAGGUCUUUGAGGCCACCAUAA